ACUCUUGNNUNNNCNGAAUUCGGCAGAGAUGCCUUAGUGCCUUCGGGAACUGUGAGACAGGUGCUGCAUGGCUGUCGUCAGCUCGUGUUGUGAAAUGUUGGGUUAAGUCCCGCAACGAGCGCAACCCUUAUCCUUUGUUGCCAGCACGUAAUGGUGGGAACUCAAAGGAGACUGCCGGUGAUAAACCGGAGGAAGGUGGGGAUGACGUCAAGUCAUCAUGGCCCUUACGAGUAGGGCUACACACGUGCUACAAUGGCGUAUACAAAGAGAAGCGAACUCGCGAGAGCCAGCGGACCUCAUAAAGUACGUCGUAGUCCGGAUCGGAGUCUGCAACUCGACUCCGUGAAGUCGGAAUCGCUAGUAAUCGUAGAUCAGAAUGCUACGGUGAAUACGUUCCCGGG
rnacentral:rRNA from 1 species